UACAGAGGUCCCGAGCGUUGUUCGGAUUCACUGGGCGUAAAGCGCGUGUAGGCGGCUCGAUAAGUCUGCUGUGAAAGUCCAAGGCUCAACCUUGGGAUGCCGGUGGAUACUGUCGAGCUCGAGUCCGGAAGAGGAGUGUGGAAUUCCUGGUGUAGCGGUGAAAUGCGCAGAUAUCAGGAGGAACACCAAUGGCGAAGGCAGCACUCUGGGACGUGACUGACGCUGAGACGCGAAAGCGUGGGGAGCAAACAGG
rnacentral:rRNA from 1 species